rnacentral:lncRNA from 1 species
ACAGUCCUGGCAUCAGUCCACGAUUAGUACAUAUUAAUGUUGAUUACAAGGCCAGAAUAUUACUAGAAUAACUAACAAUCAUUGUACAAUUAUUGAAACAAAAUAUUGAUUUCUUCAUGAAAAACUACAAAUUCAAGUGUACAUGGAUGUAACUCCAACAUUGAGUAAGGAUUUGUACCUGGAGUGUCAACAAAAGGAAGCCAAUGAGUAAAAGUGAAGCAACUAGCAAGCAACAACAGUCAAUCGAUCAGUAAUACCCAGAAUUUCAGGAGACUUUUGAGAGAAUCAAAAUUCAACAGGAAUAAGAACAACACUAGUGAUUUCUGAAGAGUAUAGAGGAAACUAAUAUAUAUUUAUCUAUAUCUUAAUUCACUAAGAGCUUCAGAAGAAAAGCCUGCUAAAAAAUAUAGCCAAAAACCUGAAAAAAUCCCCCCUCUCAAAUGUUCAGAUUGCUCUUAUAGUGAAGCCUUAGGACAACACUUUUUCCUUUUAGUCCCUUAUUAAAAUUUAGUUUUUACCAAAAUAGUCCUUAGUUUUCUGACUUGUCCCUCAAGUUUGAGGCUGAAAUUAUGCCUAAGUCACUCACUAGAAUGUUCUACGGGUUGUUACAAAAUUCUUUCAGGCUCAAAUACCCUUUAUACCCCUGUUUCCCUUCCUAACCUGAAGUGUUUAACCUUGGUUUUUCAUUUGGUUUGGUCAAAACUGACCCUGGUCAAUUGUGUUUAAGUUAUGGGCCAAAUUUGGCCGGGACUACAGGCUUAUUUGACAAGUUUAUAAAUUAGCCCAUUCAACUAAAUAUCCUAAUGUGGACUAAUAAACAACAAUUAUUAUUACUAUAGGAUCAUGUAAAUAUUCAGGCAUCUUUAUGUCAAAAACCAAUGGAUCAAAUCGACCAGGAAAGGAAACCCAUCAACUGAUACUUAACUUACAAAAAUAACCUUAUUAAAACACUCAGUAAAAUUUGAAAGUGAGAAAUGAAUAACAAGGAUUGAACACUCAAUAUAUACAUGAAUAAAAUUAGGAAACUAAAGGCAUAUAUCAGCAAUUAAAAAUUCAGCAAAAACAAAUUAACCUAAUAUAUGCAAAAAUUGAAGAUUAAAGUUACUAUGAGAUUCUAAACUGAAAACAACUACUCAGAAACAUGACGCAGCACAAGUGGGGUCCAAAAACCAAUCAGGAUCAGGGUGAAACCAAUGAAAAACAGGAGACAAGGAUCAAUAUGCAUUCAGGAUUUCAGAGGUAAAGCAAGUGACAAAUCAGUAGGACAAAGAUCGACGAAUCAUGUAAAAUUUCAGAGCCAAGAGGCAAGGAUCAACUAGUCAUGUGAAAUUUCAAAUGUAAAAAAAAACUCAGAAGAUUAUAGAAAGAAUGAAUCCACAAGUGACAUUCAAAGAAUACACAAAACAUAAUAAGCAUAUUUCAGAAUGAGGCCAUGGCGAACAUGUAAAAGUACACAAAACAGCAAUUAAAGAAAAGACUUAUGCAAAAAAUAAAACAAGGUACUUAGCUUUUGUGUGCGCAUGCAACCCUAAAUUGAUAUUCUUCCAAUUCCAUGAAUUUCUGGCCUCUUUUGGGGGGUUUUAAAACCUUUGAGGCAUUUUGCCUUGAGUACCGGAGAGGGCCAAGGGUUCAGGAAAGGGGUUUGUGAUUCUGAGACCAAGUGAGGUCUCAGAUCUGAUUUUUCUUGGUGGUUAGUAGGGUUUGAGGGUUGUGGAUGGCAUGGUUGGGGAGAAGACUGGAAGGGAUCAU